rnacentral:rRNA from 1 species
GACGAACGCUGGCGGCGUGCUUAACACAUGCAAGUCGAACGGAAAGGCCCUGCUUUUGUGGGGUGCUCGAGUGGCGAACGGGUGAGUAACACGUGAGUAACCUGCCCUUGACUUUGGGAUAACUUCAGGAAACUGGGGCUAAUACCGGAUAGGAGCUCCUGCUGCAUGGUGGGGGUUGGAAAGUUUCGGCGGUUGGGGAUGGACUCGCGGCUUAUCAGCUUGUUGGUGGGGUAGUGGCUUACCAAGGCUUUGACGGGUAGCCGGCCUGAGAGGGUGACCGGCCACAUUGGGAUUGAGAUAGGGCCCAGACUCCUGCGGGGGGCAACGGGGGGGAAUAUUGCACAAUGGGCGGAGGCCUGAGGCAGCAACGCCGGGUGGGGGAUGACGGCCUUCGGGUGGUAAACCGCUUUCGCCUGUGACGAAGGGUGAGUGACGGAAAUGGGUAAAGAAGCACCGGCUAACUACGG